AUGAGGAAAUGGCAAACCAUUCCAGUGUGUACUUGCCAAGAAAACCCCAUCCCCUGGGGAUCCAUUUCCCUAUACUUUUCUGUCUCUAGAAUCUCAGAUCACUGUCAUUGUUAUAGGAAUGUAGGAUUCAGAACUGGGAGGACUAUUUCAGAAAAGGAAACCAAGAUGGAGAGAGGCAAAUGGUUUGUUAAAAGUUGCAUAAAUAAGAAAUUAAAAAGUUCAAAAUUUAUUCCAGCUGCUCCAAUGACAAAUCUAGUGCUCUUUCCAACACAUCAGAGGCUUGUAAAGUUAAAAAAAUAUUACCAUUCUAUCCCUUCACCUCUGGUAGCUAAAGCAAUUCAACCUCUUUUUGGAAGCCCCUUCAAGCUGAAAAAGGAAAAGAGAAACAUCUUACUUUGGAUGUCUGACUCAGUGCAGGCCCCUGGGUGACUCAUUGUAAUACCGAGCUUCUUUCUUCUGGGAGAUGGGAUUUUUUCCCCUUUCUUUUCCCAGAAAGAGCCUACAGACAUCCCAGUUAAUCUUAGGAUUAUAGUUAUUAUAUAAGGAUUGAAUCCUACUUUGAAUCCUCAUUAAAAACAGAAUUAUAGAAUCUAAGAUUUGGAAGGGACUUUGGUGGCUAUUUAGUCUAAUCUUUUAGCAAAAGGAGAAACCACAAAGUGGCCAUUUGGCCUUUGCUAGAAGACAUAUAGACAAUAUAGCUGCUCUGUUAUGACACAUAUAUAAAUUUUUCCAGUCCAUAAUCAUCUAUUCCAGAAACUUCUAGUUUUUUUGAGGUGAAAGUGAGACUCCAAUACAGUUGAGUAGUGUUUUGAGUUACAAAAACUUAUCUUGAUUAACUGGUCUGUUUUUGCUAAUUAAUUUUUAUUCCAAAGCAUAUACUAUGUGCCAGGAAUUAUGUUAGGUAUGCAGAAAACAAAGGCAAAUAUGAAAUAGUUUCUGCCUUCAAGUAGUUUAUGACCAAAUGGUCUUGACUGUCAAGGGAAUAUUGACCUUUAUAAUGUACCCAAGGAAAUACCAGAUUGGAACUGAGUGAACAAGAGUUUGUAAGCCAGUGAAAGGAUAACAAUAAUACCCUAUUUAGAAAUGGAGAAUAUUGAUAAAUUGGAGAUUGGUCAUAACAGUGCCUUGAAGAUGGUGUAGGUCUUUGAGAUCUCACCAUCAAAGGAUUGAAUAGAGUCAGAGAAUUCAAGCUUUUAAAAUUUCUUCUCAAUUACAUGUGAACAAAAACUGUAAACAUUCACUAAAAUUAAUCCUUAUCUUCCAUCUUAGAACCAAUACUGUAAAGAAUAAUUUAAAAAGCAUGCUUUGAUAUGCAUUCACACUCUAUCAGUUCUUUCUCCAAAGGUGGAUAGUAUUUAAAAAAAUCCUAAGUCCUUCAAAAAAUGUCUUGGAUCAUUGUAUUGCUUAGAAUAGCUAUCAUUCAGCUUAU
rnacentral:lncRNA from 1 species